GUGGAUGAUGAGUAUUCUGAAUCUUCAAUUGAUGGUGUAGGACGCCAUUUAGCUGAUU
rnacentral:snoRNA from 1 species